rnacentral:RNase_P_RNA from 1 species
GUAGCCCAUCGAGCGAUCGCUAGAUUUUUCUAGAGGAAAGUCCGGGCAGCAUAGGGCGCGACAGUUGUUAACGGCAACCGGGGGAGACCCUAGGGAAAGUGCCACAGAAACGAUACCGCCUAUCUUACGAUAGGUAAGGGUGAAAGGAGUGAGGUAAGAGCUCACAGUCUAUCAUGGUGACAUGAUAUGAGAGGUAAACCCUGUCGGCUGCAAGGAGAGUCAUCUGUUUAACAGUUGGUAGCCCGCCAAGACUCGAUAACCGCUAGAUUUUAUAGGUAACUAUAAGACUAGAUAGAUGAUCGUUCUAGACAGAACCCGGCUUACAGAUGGGCUAUUUAU